UACAGAGGGGGCAAGCGUUGUUCGGAAUUACUGGGCGUAAAGCGCACGUAGGCGGCCCAGCAAGUCGGGUGUGAAAGCCCUCGGCUUAACCGAGGAAGUGCAUUCGAAACUACUGAGCUUGAAUACUGGAGAGGAUCGCGGAAUUCCCGGUGUAGAGGUGAAAUUCGUAGAUAUCGGGAGGAACACCAGUGGCGAAGGCGGCUCACUGGUCCGGUACUGACGCUGAGGUGCGAAAGCGUGGGGAGCAAACAGG
rnacentral:rRNA from 1 species